GUGAGGAAUAUUGCGCAAUGGAGGCAACUCUGACGCAGCCAUGCCGCGUGCAGGAAGAAGGCGCUACGCGUUGUAAACUGCUUUUAACCGGGAAGAAACCCCAGGACGUGUCCUGGGUUGACGGUACCGGAGGAAUAAGCACCGGCUAACUUCGUGCCAGCAGCCGCGGUAAUACGAAGGGUGCAAGCGUUAUCCGGAUUCAUUGGGUUUAAAGGGUGCGUAGGCGGAGCGUUAAGUCAGUGGUGAAAUCCUGCAGCUUAACUGUAGACUUGCCAUUGGUACUGGCGCUCUUGAGUGCGCUUGAAGUGGGCGGAAUGUGCCGUGUAGCGGUGAAAUGCUUAGAUAUGGCACAGAACACCAAUUGCGAAGGCAGCUCACUAAGGCGAUACUGACGCUGAGGCACGAAAGCGUGGGGAUCGAACAGGAUUAGAAACCCCGGUAGUCC
rnacentral:rRNA from 1 species